UACGUAGGGUCCAAGCGUUAAUCGGAAUUACUGGGCGUAAAGCGUCCGCAGGUGGCUUGAUAAGAUAGACGUGAAAUCCCUGGGCUCAACCUAGGAAUUGCGUUUAUGACUGUCUCGCUAGAGUAUGGGAGAGGGGGGUGGAAUUCCACGUGUAGCAGUGAAAUGCGUAGAGAUGUGGAGGAACACCGAUGGCGAAGGCAACCCCCUGGCCUAAUACUGACACUCAUGGACGAAAGCGUGGGGAGCAAACAGG
rnacentral:rRNA from 2 species